ACCUGGGUGGCUCAGUCAGUUGAGCGUCCGACUGCUGCUCAGGUCAUGAUCUCAGUUCGUGGGUUCAAGCCCCAUCUCGGGUU
rnacentral:tRNA from 1 species